rnacentral:tRNA from 13 species
UGCCGGUCUUCAAAACCGUUGAUGAGUUCUUG